rnacentral:rRNA from 1 species
GACGAACGCUGGCGGCGUGGAUUAGGCAUGCAAGUCGAACGGUAUCAUCCUUUCGGGGGUGAGAGAGUGGCGAACUGGUGAGUAACACGUAGGUUAUCUACCCUCAAGACGGGGACAACCCAGGGAAACUUGGGCUAAUACCGGAUGUGAGCAACUUUUAGUUGUUUGAAAGGUGGCGUAAGCUGUCGCUUGGGGAUGAGCCUGCGUCCUACUAGUUAGUUGGUGAGGUAACGGCUCACCUAGGCAAUGAUAGGUAGGCGGCCUUAACGGGUGGUCGCCCACACUGGGAUUGAGAUACGGCCCAGACUCCUACGGGAGGCAGCAGUCGAGAAUAGUCUACAAUGGUCGGAAGACUGAUAGUGCGACGCCGCGUGAACGAUGAAUCCCUUCGGGGUGUAAAGUUCUUUUAUAUGUGAGCAGUGCUUCUUAUAUUAACAGUAUGGGGAGAGAGAUAUUAGCAUAUGAAUAAGCAACGGCUAACUCCGUG